AGCCGCAUCGGUUAGAUUGGGAGACUCAUCAAUAAUAAUCAGAAAACCGAGGAAGCUUCGCGCUCCAAUGGCGGGCUGCGCCCUUCGGGGUAACCUCUCACGCAGAGGCCGGCAGAUUACAAAGGACGCGAGCACUCAAAUCAUAUUCACUCGGAGUUCUCAUCACAUCACCGAUGCGGUUUUUU
rnacentral:sRNA from 1 species